GAUCAUGGCUCAGAUGAACGCUGCGGCAGGCUUAACACAUGCAAGUCGAGCGGGAAGGGUAGCUUGCUACCUUACCUAGCGGCGGACGGGUGAGUAAUGCUUAGGAAUCUGCCUAUUAGUGGGGGACAACAUCUCGAAAGGGAUGCUAAUACCGCAUACGUCCUACGGGAGAAAGCAGGGGACCUUCGGGCCUUGCGCUAAUAGAUGAGCCUAAGUCGGAUUAGCUAGUUGGUGGGGUAAAGGCCUACCAAGGCGACGAUCUGUAGCGGGUCUGAGAGGAUGAUCCGCCACACUGGGACUGAGACACGGCCCAGACUCCUACGGGAGGCAGCAGUGGGGAAUAUUGGACAAUGGGGGGAACCCUGAUCCAGCCAUGCCGCGUGUGUGAAAAGAAGGCCUUUUGGUUGUAAAGCACUUUAAGCGAGGAGGAGGCUACCGAGAUUAAUACUCCUGGAUAGUGGACGUUACUCGCAGAAUAAGCACCGGCUAACUCUGUGCCAGCCGCCGC
rnacentral:rRNA from 1 species